AAAAAAUUAGUUUAGGAUUUUAAAAAAAUAUUUAGUUGUCAACUAAUUGAGAAUAUUUAUUGUGUUAUUUUUUU
rnacentral:tRNA from 1 species